rnacentral:lncRNA from 1 species
UAAUAUUGUAGAUUACAUUUAUUGAUUUUCAAACCAACCAUUCAUACCUGAAAUAAAUCCUACUUGUUCAUACUCUAUCAUUCUUCUUACACAUUUUUAUUCAACUUGCUAAUAUUUUGCUAACGAUUUUUAAGUCUAAGUUCAUGAGAGAUAUUGAUCCGUAGCUUUCUUUUUCGUGCUGUCUUUGGUUUGGGUAUCAGGGGAACACUGGCCUCAUUAGUUGAGUAAUAGUAAUAUUUUUAGUUGACCAAACCUAGAUGCUAUUCAGUAGCCCAUCACCAAUAGAAACAAUUGUAUAUUAUCAUAGUUCAUAAAAUGUCCUACUAUAAAACAUUGAGUAUAAAUGGACCACAACUCCACACAACAAUUAUUUAUCAAUCUUAUUUAGUGAUUCUAUAGGAUCCUGCUUAUAAAAAGAACCAAAUAAGGAAAUUAAGCUAUGAUGUUAGCAAUCAGAAUAGUAGUUAACCUUUUGAGAAGUAAUCCCUAAAAGAGAGUAGAGAGGUUCUUUCUAGGGUACUGGUCAGGUUCUAUUUCUUUUCCUGCGUGUUGAUAAGACAAAUAUGCAUAUUUGUGAGCAGUUCAUUGGGGUAGGUACUUACCUACCCAUUCUGUAUGUUUGCUACACUUUGGUUAAAAAAGGAAAACAAUACUCAUCACCAGCCCCACAGAGAACUCCUCUCCUGGCUACUCUCUUUACUGCCUACUUGAAUUCCCAGGGACCAGAGCUAGGUGACUUACUACUCAUAUAAACAUAAAGCUGAAAACAGCUAUUUUUAUACUGUAUUUGACAAGGAAGACAUUAAUUUCACUGUUUUCAAAAAGAGCCACCAUCUAUUUUUGUUUUUGUUUUUUUAGGUCUUAGGGUUGAACAGCCUCAUUGCUGUCCCAUGUAUAAGCCAGCUAAAAAGUCUGAGAGUCAUUCAUAUUUCUAGCAGAGAGGAAAUGGAUCAGAAGGUAGUUCUGGCAACUAUUUGUAUUUGAUAUUCACUCUUUCAUGCUUGCUUUGUACUUGAAGAUAGCAAUAUCACAGAGUAUUCUUUUAAAAUACUCAGUUAAUUAAAAAAUAAUUUAGCCUUAUAGUAUCUGUGAUUAUAGUUAUCCAUUCUUUAGUGUUUUGUACUUAAGACUGAUAAAUUAAUAGAAGUUUAUUAAACACAUAUUGGAAAUGAAAGCCUUGAUGAGUAAAGCACAUCAAGAAUCUGAGAAUAUCCUGGCUUCAAAACACUAAGCAGGAAUAGUAGGUUCCAGUGGUUAGUGUUACUGUCUUAUCUCAAGAGAACAAACAAUUCACUGAAAACUACUUAUAUUCAAGAGAUUCAAAGUUCUUAAGCCUUCACAUACUUAGAAAGACCCCUAACCCUUCUAAAUGACUCUGAUGGUUUGCAAAGCCAUACACUGCAACAAGCAUGCAGCACUCUGAGGAACAGGAAAACUUCUUUGAACAAAGUCAAUGAACUCCAACUGCAAUGUAUAGUCAAGUCACCCUUACAAGAAAGAGUUUCUAUUGAUCCACCCACCUCUCUCACCUUACUUCUCCACUCCUCUAUUUCAUUUUACAAUGUUCAGAGGAGGAAAAGUUGUCAACAGGAAAAGUUACUAAGUGAUACCUUGCAUUUUCAUACUGUCAGCAAAGGAAACUGUGAUCUGAAUAUCACUAGACAGAUUAACUAGUGGUGCCUGCCUCUCACUCUUGAACGUCCAUGAGAAUCAGAUGAAGUGGCAUUAAAACAUGCAGAUGCUCAGAUCCCAAAUCCACAGAUUAUGAUGGGGCCCUAGAUUCUGCAUUAUCAACAAUCACAUCAUAUGAUUCUGAUACACAUGAUUUGAGGGGGGAAAAGAGAGGGUGGGAGGAAAGACGAGGAAAAGGAGAGGGGAGGGAAGCAAGAAAGAAAGAGACCAAAUCAGGCUGAAUAAAUGAAAAUCCCAAGACCGAAGGUUAUCUUUACAAGAAAAUAAAGCUUGUUGCUUUCAAAUACAAAUGACAGUAACAGGUGGGUGUAAAUAGUGUUGCUAUGUACUAGCAAUAUGAGGCCUGAUUUAUAAAGUUAAAAUAUCAUUAAAUAUCCCAGAUCACACACUGCCCUCAUUCAUUCAUUCAUUAACUAUUUAUAAAAUACCUCUGGACCAAGACUGGGGCAUGUGGCGAUAAAAUGUACCUUAAAAAGCUGACAAUGUAAUAGGGAAAACAUAAAAACAGGCACGCUUGUGGCUGAUUUGUGCUAUAUUUAUUUAAGCCUGAUUUCUUCUGGACAAACCAACCACUGUCAAAGAUCAAGAAUCCAUGUCCCAGAGAGCCUUGUGUACAAACACCAACCACACUACUGGGGACUCUGGACCCAUCUGUGUCCUUGGGGAUGCUGGCAUGAAUGCUUUACAGACUCCUUUCUCCUUCCAUGGAAUUAAGACUCUUUAAGCUGACCACAUAUUUUUGGGCCAAAACAGCUAAAACAAAAGCUAAACAAGAGAAAAGAGAAGUUCCUACACACAUGGCAAGUCUUUCAUGUCCUCUGAGUGACAAUGGUUUCUACUCAUCUUCAAGAGUCAGAGUGCAGCUGACCCAUCUCUCAGGGUCUAUAGCUCUUCUGGAGCACAGCCCCAAACAGAACUUGAAACUCUUGAAGAGAAUUUCCAUAUUACAGCUUCCCGUUGGAUGGUAGGCAACGCCUUGCAAGUGGAAGGGAAAGCUACUCAGCUAAAAGCUACUUUUCCAUUAAAGCCAAAGUUCAGUCCUAGAGCCAAGCAUGGUACUUACAUGGCACCAGUCUUUCCUGCACCUUAUGGUGAACUUCCUCCUUUCUCAGGAUACAUUCUAGUCCCAAGACAGAAGCCAUAAUAAGUAUCCCUCUGAACAUUGGAAUUUGAGGUUCCUCCUUAAGAAUCUCUCAAGUGUCCUAUAGAGCCCUUUAUUUACAGGAUACCCUGAGGGUUACAGUGGUGAGCGUGUACCAACAAAAUCUCGUUCCCACACUUCUAGUCAUGAUUAGAUACAGGAUUGAUCUGACACAGAAACAGAAGAGGGGCUGUCCAAGCUUUUGUUAACAUAACGGGCAAGAGAAACAAAUUGUGAUUUUAUGUUCCUUGUUCUUUUUAUUUUGGUUGUCAUGUCAUAAGCAUUUAGUAGAAAAAUAAUUAUAAAAUAGUGAAGCACAUACAAAAUCACAAAUCAUACUAUCAGAAUUUUGUGUAGGCCAAUGAAUAUAUGUGUGAAAACUCUUCUGAAUGUGCAUGUGUGUCUAUUUUUAUAGCUAUGUAUCAUUAUUUUUUCUAUGUAUUAUAUGUAUAUUUUAACAACUAAAUUUCAGUAUUUAUUAUUAAUUUGAAAACUGCUUUUCACUUAAUGUAUCAUGACACCUUUCCAUUUCAAAAAAGUUAUAGAGUUACCAUCAAUUGUAAGACUAAAUUAUGCCUAUUGCACAGAUUUAUCAUAUUUUACCUAACAAAUUCUCUAAUAUUCCACAUCUGGGGCUGUUUGUAAUUUUUCUCUGCUAUAAGAAAUCCUAUACAUUUUAAUGACAUUUCUGAGAGCCUCUGAUGAAUUCACUUUCACCUACAUCUGUGAAUCUUUGCAAUCAUUUCAUUAGGUUCCUAAACUAAAAAUGACAACUUUUUACCUUAAUGGAAAUAAUUAAGUGCUUACAUUAGCAUUAUAGGAAAAGCAAGCCACUUUAGCUGAAUAGAUUUGACGAUAACUGGGGUCAAAUAAGUAUUUUGAAGGUUUAACAUUAGUUUAAACAAAGUUUCCAAAUUAAUGCAUUUGUCCAAAAAAGUAGGAAUAUACUCUUGUCGCAAACUAAGCACUUUUUCCUGGGGAAGCAUUAUUAUUGAUAAUUAGAAUUUUGUUAGUCAUAGAAAAGUAAAUAAUUAUAGUAACAGUGACUGUCGUACACCUAACACUGCACUUGCUUCAUUAAAUCAUCUUCUUAUGUUACUUUUAUUACCCACUGCUACAAAUAAAAAGAAAACUGGAGCUGUACAGUUGGGGCAAGUCUGUCUAGAAUUAACACAGAAGAUUCCUAGCUGAAUAUUUUUAUUCUGAAGAAAGAAAAAGAAACAGUACAAUUGGCAGAACUUGUUCAUGGACUGACACAGGUCUCAGCUAGUGGGACACACACCACCCAAAAUUGGGCCAGACUGCCUACAACAGGAUCUCCCAUCUUUUUCAACCCACAUGUGGAAAGGAGAGUGCUGAGUCACUCUAUGAGUUGGAAUGUCUUAUUAUGGGAAUGUGGUUGCUGUGGUAACAGAAGGGCACGAGCCAAGGCAGAGAAGUAUUAAAAGUACGGUAUUACUGAGGUAAACCUGCCCCAUAUAUGAUUUUACAGCAACUUAUUUGUGAGCUAGUUUUGACAUUUUGCUUUACGUCCUUCCAUAAUGCUGGAACACAUCACAGUGCUAAUACAAUGUACCAAAUGUUCUGCUCCCUGGAGAGAUCACCAUCACCCUUCUGGGAAAUAACUAGAAGUUGGGGGAGAUAAAAGUCUGACAGCCAUUUUUUCUGUUCCUGGCUAGGACUCUUCUGAAACAACACAAGAUGAAUGUUGGUUAGGGAAGCAGUUUAAAUCUGUGGGAGGAGUACUAAGAUGACAAGUUGCUCAGUCUCACUCACACCAGUUAUAUUAUUCAUCCCUCCAAAGUCCUGGAGGAGAGUAUUCAUUCCUAGCCUCUUUGGGAGUAUAACAGGGAAAUCUGCCCCUGAAGCAGGUUUCACCAAGAUACCGAAAAAAGAUUCUCUUCUUGUCCCAACUCAGGUUCCCCUGAGCAGUUUUUCUCCAUUAGGCUUUGACUUUAGCCUAUAAGGACUGCUCAAAUGACUGUCCAAACCUCUACUCUAAGACACUUAACCAAACUUUAGCAUUGGCUUCUAACAACUGAAGGCCCUGUCCCUAGGAUGACCUCAGUUCCCCUAAAAAAAAAAAAAAAAAAAAAAA